AGAACGAACGCUGGCGGCAGGCCUAACACAUGCAAGUCGAACGCCCCGCAAGGGGAGUGGCAGACGGGUGAGUAACACGUGGGAACGUACCCUUUGGUUCGGGACAACUCCGGGAAACUGGAGCUAAUACCGGAUAAGCCCUAUGGGGGAAAGAUUUAUCGCCGAAGGAUCGGCCCGCGUCGGAUUAGCUAGUUGGUGGGGUAAAAGCCUACCAAGGCGACGAUCCGUAGCUGGUCUGAGAGGAUGACCAGCCACACUGGGACUGAGACACGGCCCAGACUCCUACGGGAGGCAGCAGUGGGGAAUAUUGGACAAUGGGCGCAAGCCUGAUCCAGCCAUGCCGCGUGAGUGAUGAAGGCCUUAGGGUUGUAAAGCUCUUUCGCCAGGGGACGAUAAUGACGGUACCUGGAUAAGAAGCCCCGGCUAACUUCGUGCCAGCAGCCGC
rnacentral:rRNA from 1 species